UACAGAGGCCUCGAGCGUUUAGGCGGAAUCACUGGGCUUAAAGCGUGUGUAGGCGGAUUGGUAAGUACCUUGUGAAAUCCCACAGCUUAACUGUGGAACUGCUCGGUAUACUGCUGAUCUUGAGCCACUCAGGGGCUACCGGAACAAAUGGUGGAGCGGUGAAAUGCGUAGAUAUCAUUUGGAACGCCAAUGGUGAAAACAGGUAGCUGGGGGUGUGCUGACGCUGAGACACGAAAGCCAGGGGAGCAAACGGG
rnacentral:rRNA from 1 species